AUACAAACAUUUCCCACCCACCAUGUGGAUCAAGAUGUUUGGGCUGAUGAUUCUGGGUCGUAUGUGUGGACAAGGUGGUCUUCAUUACAUCAUGAUGCAGCUGUGUAUUCAACAACAUGUUAACCUGUCCCAGCGGAUGUUGAUGCUCUUAAAUGAUGUUGAGAACAAUCCAGGACCGGAGUAUUCGUGCAAAUGGAUAUCCUGCAAGGAAGACUUCCACUCCAUAGGACAGCAAGAUGCACAUAUCAUCUCUCAUGUGGUUCAAGAGAAAUGCUGUAGAUGGGGAGACUGUACCAAAGUCCUGAGCUUUAAUAGUCUUGAAAUCCAUGAACUUAAACAUCUCUAUGAUGUGAGUUUAGCACUG